rnacentral:rRNA from 1 species
UACGGAGGGAGCAAGCGUUAAUCGGAAUCACUGGGCGUAAAGCGCGCGUAGGCGGUCUGUUAAGUGGGAUGUGAAAUCCCCGGGCUUAACCUGGGAAUUGCAUUUGGGACUGCAAGGCUUGAGUGCGGCAGAGGAGACUAGAAUUCCUGGUGUAGCAGUGAAAUGCGUAGAUAUCAGGAGGAAUACCGAUGGCGAAGGCAGGUCUCUGGGCUGACACUGACGCUCAUGCACGAAAGCGUGGGAGCAAACAGG